GAUGAACGCUGGCGGCGUGCCUAAUACAUGCAAGUCGAGCGAACAGACGAGGAGCUUGCUCCUCUGACGUUAGCGGCGGACGGGUGAGUAACACGUGGAUAACCUACCUAUAAGACUGGGAUAACUUCGGGAAACCGGAGCUAAUACCGGAUAAUAUAUUGAACCGCAUGGUUCAAUAGUGAAGGACGGUUUUGCUGUCACUUAUAGAUGGAUCCGCGCCGCAUUAGCUAGUUGGUAAGGUAACGGCUACCAAGGCAACGAUGCGUAGCCGACCUGAGAGGGUGAUCGGCCACACUGGAACUGAGACACGGUCCAGACUCCUACGGGAGGCAGCAGUAGGGAAUCUUCCGCAAUGGGCGAAAGCCUGACGGAGCAACGCCGCGUGAGUGAUGAAGGUCUUCGGAUCGUAAAACUCUGUUAUUAGGGAAGAACAAAUGUGUAAGUAACUAUGCACGUCUUGACGGUACCUAAUCAGAAAGCCACGGCUAACUACGUG
rnacentral:rRNA from 1 species